rnacentral:tRNA from 1 species
GCCCUGGUGGUGGAAUGGUAGACACGCAGGACUUAAAAUCCUGUUCCUCAUGGGAGUAUGGGUUCAAUUCCCAUCCGGGGCA